GCAUUAGUGUGGUGUAGCGGUAACAUUGGGUCUUCCCAUGGCCUAGCUCCGGGUUCGACUCCUGCCUGAUGCA